ACGACCCCGACGCCUCCCCGUCCCCAUGGUCCUCUGGCUCCUGCGAGGCCGCAGGUCCUCACCUGAAGGCUAGAAGACUCGUGAAAACCUGUCCGCGGGACUGAGACCCAGGCUCACUCCGGACCAGACCCUGUGUUCAUACUUCCUUGAAUCCACAAGUUGAGUACUGUCCCAACACAUCCCGAUCUGCAGAUGUGGAAAUUCAUCUUCAGCUCUCCUGGACCAGCCAUUUUCUGCCAACCUUGGUGGCAAAUGCUGUCUGACAUCAUACCUCCAACAACCGUGUCUUUAAUUUCUGUGGCAUUCAGUGAGAAGUUCUCACUGCUAAAUCUACAACCAAGUAAGACAAAUACAGGACAAAUUUGGUUCAGUAAGGAGAUGCAAGAGGAGGGCAUUACUAAGAUGUCUGUAGGGGGAAACUAUAACACAUGUCAUCUUGGAAAUCCUCAAAAUCCCAGAGUUGAAACAAAUGGUACAGUUAUACAGUGUGAGUCUGUUUGUGAAAUUUCAGUUCCUGAACUGGUGCUAAUAGCAAACAUGCCAUCAGUAAUAUAAACUCAUGAAAUGUGCCAGUUGAAAGUAAUUUUUUUUAUUGUUAUUAUUAUUAUCAGCAGCAGCAUCAUUAUCAUUAGCACAAAACUAAAUCGAUUAUUAAAAGAAACCAAAAACACAGCCCAAAGGCAUGUGUCUUGCUGA